AAAGGACUGGUUCAUUUGGGAAGGGCCUCUUUCUGCCCCCUGCCCGCUCUGCUUUUCCUCCUUCUUCCAUCCUACGAAGGGCUCCAGCAGCUGUCCUGGACCAUGAGGUGGCCUUGAGGAAGAAGCCACAAGCUAGGAGGGAGGAGCAGAAAGAUAGGGACCUGAGCCCCUGAUGACACCACAGAGCCGCCAUACUUGUCCUGCAUGGCCAACGUGUAGAUCUGGACACGAGAGAGAUAAGCUUCUGUCUUGUGCAAGCUACCACCACCUGUUGAAACAAAUGUACCUUUCCAUCCUACAGGACGUCCACAUAUAACAAAAGACAUGAUUACACCGUAGAUGAGGAAACUGAGGCACAGAAAAGGAUGAGGAUGAGCCAGAAUUCAAAGCCAGGCAGUCUGAUUCUGAGCCUAUCCACUCAACCACCUUGCACAGCUCCCUCUAAUGCAAAGACCCCUCAUAAGGGCCAGGAGUUUUACUAACAUUGCCAGAAGUCUCGCAGCAAACUGGGGGCCUCACACACGAUCUAGCCGCACAUUAGAACCAGCUGAGAAGGCUGUAAAGCACACCUAGGCCUGGAGCAAACACCAUAAUGGGUUGUCAUCUGGGGACUCGAAUGAAGAGUGAUGCGGAAGCCCUGCGCUCUCCUUGUACUGUUUUUGUACCUCUCAAGUUUCAUCAAAAUUUUUUUUAAAAAGUGAAAGUAACUAAAGAACGUAGUAGGACAAUAUUAGCUGACCUGGAGGGAUUUCUCCAGGAAUUGUUAGCAAGAGGUGCUAAUAAAAGUGUUACUUACAAGAUCCAGAA
ensembl:lncRNA